rnacentral:rRNA from 1 species
UACGGAGGGGGCUAGCGUUAUUCGGAAUUAUUGGGCGUAAAGGGCGCGUAGGCGGCCCGGUAAGUCAAAGGUGAAAUCCCUCGGCUCAACUGAGGAACUGCCUUUGAAACUGUCGGCUUGAAGGCCGGGAGGGGGUAGCGGGAAUUCCCAGUGUAGCGGGUGAAAUGCGUAGAUAAUUGGGAGGAACACCGGUGGCGAAGGCGGCUACCUGGACCGGUUCUGACGCUGAGGUGCGAAAGCGUGGGGAGCAAACAGG